GCCAAAAACCUAGCCUAAACCUGCCCUAUGCAACACCAACCGCUCUAAUUGCAAAUAAAACAUUUUGACAUUUUAGUAGAGGUGAUCGAAAAAUGUUUAAGCGCUUCAGAGAUAGUACCGCAAGGGAAAGAUGAAAUAAAAAUGAAAUAACACUUAAGCACUAAAAAGCAGAGACUCUCCCUCGUACCUUUUGCAUCAUGGUCUAGCCAGUUCAACCAAGCAAAACGAACUUUAAGUUUGACCUCCCGAAACUAAGUGAGCUACUUCGAAACAGCUUUUAGAGCCAACCCGUCUCUGUGGCAAAAGAGUGGGAAGAUUUCCAAGUAGCGGUGACAGACCUACCGAACUUAGAGAUAGCUGGUUGCUUAAGAAAAGAAUAUUAGUUCUACCUCAAGCCCCCAAAUUACGCUUAAAAACAUAUAAGACUUGAGAGCUAUUCAAAUAAGGCACAGCUUAUUUGAAACAGGGUACAACCUUAACUAACGGGUAAUAUAAUUUCUCAUUAACAAGUGGGCCUAAAAGCAGCCACCUUUAAAAAAGCGUUAAAGCUUAGUCACCUUUGCUACUUUAAUUCCCAAAACAUUUUAAAACCCUUUACCACUAUUAAGUAACUCCAUAAACCUAUGGAAGAUAUUAUGCUAGAACUAGUAACAAGAAAUAGAAUUUCUCCAUAAUGUAAGCUUAAGCCACAAUUGACAAACUACUGGCAAUUAACGGUCAUGAACCCCGUGUACCAACAUAACAAGAAAACCUUACACCCCCUACCGUUAACCUUACACCAGGACAUUUAUGGAAAGAUUAAAAGAGAAAGAAGGAACUCGGCAAAUUUUAACCUCGCCUGUUUACCAAAAACAUCGCCUCUUGCUAAAUCAUAAGAGGUCCAGCCUGCCCAGUGAUUUUAUUCAACGGCCGCGGUACCCUAACCGUGCGAAGGUAGCAUAAUCACUUGUUCUUUAAAUGGGGACUUGUAUCAACGGCAUCACGAGGGUUAUACUGUCUCCUUUCUCCAAUCAGUGAAACUGAUCUCCCCGUGAAGAAGCGGGGAUGCUUAUAUAAGACGAGAAGACCCCAUGGAGCUUUAAACCCAAUUGCACCUCGCCCAUAUUACACCCUCUUAACUAGCGAGUCCUGUCUCUUGGUUUUAGGUUGGGGUGACCACGGAGCACAAAAACACCUCCGAGAUGAAUGGGGCUAACCCCCCUUAUCUAAGAGCUACCUCUCUAAGAAUUAGUAUUCUAACAUAAAAUGAUCCGAUUUUCGAUCAACGAACCAAGUUACCCUGGGGAUAACAGCGCAAUCCACUUCAAGAGCCCCUAUCGACAAGUGGGUUUACGACCUCGAUGUUGGAUCAGGGUAUCCCAGCGGUGCAGCAGCUGCUAAAGGUUCGUUUGUUCAACGAUUAAAACCCUACGUGAUCUGAGUUCAGACCGGAGUAAUCCAGGUCGGUUUCUAUCUAUAAAGAGGUGUUCCUAGUACGAAAGGACCGGAACAACAUGGCCAAUAUAUUAACAAGCCAUCGCCCUUCACCAAUGAACCCAACUCAAUUGGCCCGGGGCCUAAAAUUCUACCCUAGAAAUAGGGUUU
rnacentral:rRNA from 1 species